AAAUAUUCAAAAGCAGUGUGGAGUUUAUAGAGUCGUUCAAUGCCGCAGGAAACCGUGGUUACAAGCUAAGCAUAAAUGAAUUUGCAGAUCAGACCAACGAGUUUAAGGCUUACAGGAAUGGAUACGGAAGGCCACAGAGACUGAAAUCAAGAAAACAGACAUCAUUUAGGUACGAGAAUGUAACAAGUUUGCCUGCCAGCAUAGACUGGAGGAAAAGAGGAGCCGUUACGCCCAUCAAGGACCAAGCACAAUGUGGUAAGCAAUAUGUAACAGUUAGAGCAUACACCUAAAUCUUACUUUGAUAAACCAAAAUAAUGAAAAACUCAUUUAAAAAACAGGUAGCUGCUGGGCAUUUUCGGCUGUCGCAGCAACUGAAGGAAAUCACCACCUACAAGACAAGUAAUUUCCUUGUCUGAGCAAGAACUGGUUGAUUGUGAUAAAGGUGUGGAUCAUGGAUGUGAAGAUGGUGAAAUGGAAGAUGAAUUUGAAUUCAGAAUCAGAUAUCAUGGCAUUGCAUCAGAAGCCACUUACCCUUACAAGGGUGAUGAUGGUAAUUGCAACAAAUCAAUCGAAGCUUCCCAUGCAGCUACAAUUAGUGGCUAUGAGAUUGUUCCUGCGAAUAAUGAACAGGCGUUACAGAAAGAUGUUGCAAACCAACCGGUAUCAGUGUCCAUUGAUGCCGAAGGUUAUUCCUUCCAAUUCUACUCGAGAGGAAUUUUCACCGGAGAGUGCGGAACUGAACUAGACCAUGGUAUUACAGCUGUUGGGUACGGUACCUCUGAAGAUUGUAUUGAUUAUUGGCUUAUCAAGAAUUCAUGGGGCACAGGACGGGGUGAAAAAGGAUACAUCAUGAUGCAGCGAAACAUCAAAGCUAAAGGUCUUUGCCGCAUAGCCAUGGACUCCUCUUAUCCAACAGUCAAACAAAAAAAAACUUCAAUAUCAUG
rnacentral:lncRNA from 1 species